CCUACGGGAGGCAGCAGUGAGGAAUAUUGGUCAAUGGGCGCGAGCCUGAACCAGCCAAGUAGCGUGAAGGAUGACUGCCCUACGGGUUGUAAACUUCUUUUAUAAAGGAAUAAAGUGAGGCACGUGUGCCUUUUUGUAUGUACUUUAUGAAUAAGGAUCGGCUAACUCCGUGCCAGCAGCCGCGGUAAUACGGAGGAUCCGAGCGUUAUCCGGAUUUAUUGGGUUUAAAGGGUGCGUAGGUGGGUUUUUAAGUCAGUUGUGAAAGUUUGCGGCUCAACCGUAAAAUUGCAAUUGAUACUGGCAGCCUUGAGUACAGUUGAGGUAGGCGGAAUGCGGGGUGUAGCGGUGAAAUGCUUAGAUAUCACGAAGAACGCCGAUUGCGAAGGCAGCCUACUAAGCUGCCACUGACGUUGAUGCUCGAAAGUGUGGGUAUCAAACAGGAUUAGAUACCCGAGUAGUC
rnacentral:rRNA from 1 species